rnacentral:sRNA from 1 species
GCUGGGCAUAGUAGCCUACGCCUGUAAUCCCAGCGGCUCAGGAGGCUGAGGCAGGAGGAUCAUGAGCUCAAAGCCAGCCUCAG